UACGUAGGGUGCGAGCGUUAAUCGAAAUUACUGGGCGUAAAGCGUGCGCAGGCGGUUCGUUAAGUCAGCUGUGAAAGCCCCGGGCUCAACCUGGGAAUGGCGGUUGAAACUGGCGAACUAGAAUCUGGCAGAGGGGGGUGGAAUUCCACGUGUAGCAGUGAAAUGCGCAGAUAUCAGGAGGAACACCAAUGGCGAAGGCAGCUCGCUGGGACGUGACUGACGCUGAGACGCGAAAGCGUGGGGAGCAAACAGG
rnacentral:rRNA from 1 species